rnacentral:rRNA from 1 species
UACGGAGGGAGCUAGCGUUGUUCGGAAUUACUGGGCGUAAAGCGCGCGUAGGCGGCCUUGCAAGUUAGAGGUGAAAGCCCGGAGCUCAACUCCGGAACUGCCUUUAAAACUGCAUAGCUUGAAUCCGGGAGAGGUGAGUGGAAUUCCGAGUGUAGAGGUGAAAUUCGUAGAUAUUCGGAAGAACACCAGUGGCGAAGGCGGCUCACUGGACCGGUACUGACGCUGAUGCGCGAAAGCGUGGGGAGCAAACGGG